rnacentral:rRNA from 1 species
GUAGGUGGCAAGCGUUGUCCGGAAUUAUUGGGCGUAAAGCGCGCGCAGGCGGGUCCUUUAAGUCUGAUGUGAAAGCCCACGGGCUCAACCGUGGAGGGUCAUUGGAAACUGGGGGACUUGAGUACAGAAGAGGAAAGCGGAAUUCCACGUGUAGCGGUGAAAUGCGUAGUGAUGUGGAGGAACACCAGUGGCGAAGGCGGCUUUCUGGUCUGUAACUGACGCUGAGGCGCGAAAGCGUGGGGAGCAAACAGGAUUAGAUACCCUGGUAGUCCACGCCGUAAACGAUGAGUGCUAAGUGUUAGGGGGUUUCCGCCCCUUAGUGCUGCAGCUAACGCAUUAAGCACUCCGCCUGGGGAGUACGGCCGCAAGGCUG